UACGAAGGGGGCUAGCGUUGCUCGGAAUCACUGGGCGUAAAGGGUGCGUAGGCGGGUCUUUAAGUCAGGGGUGAAAUCCUGGAGCUCAACUCCAGAACUGCCCUUGAUACUGAAGAUCUUGAGUUCGGGAGAGGUGAGUGGAACUGCGAGUGUAGAGGUGAAAUUCGUAGAUAUUCGCAAGAACACCAGUGGCGAAGGCGACUCACUGGUCCGGUACUGACGCUGAGGUGCGAAAGCGUGGGGAGCAAACAGG
rnacentral:rRNA from 1 species